UCCCCGCUACUCUUCCCGGCUUCUAAUGACUAUAAUGUUAGUCUCUACUUCUAUGGGCUCAAUUUUUUUUUUUAAGAUUCCAUAUACAAAGAAGAUAAAUUCCCUCAGUUUUUGGUUGUCCUGGGAAGACUAUUUCUCCUUCAUUUCUAAAAGAUAGCAUUGCUGGAUAUAGUCUUCUUGGCUGGCAGGAUUUUUUUUAUUCCUUUCAGCACUUUGAAUAUAUCAUCCCAUUCUUUCCUGGCCUAUAAGGUUUCUGCUGAGAAAUCUGUUUCUAGUUUGAUGGGAAUUCCCUUAUAUGUAGCUGGAUGCUUUUCUCUUGCUGUUUUAAAUUUUUUCUGUGUCUUUGACAUUUGACAGUUUGACUAUAAUGUGCCCCAGAGGGGACCUUUUUGGGUUUAAUCUAUUUGGAGAUCUUUGAGCUACCUUAUCUGAAUGUCACCUAUAUCACUCACAGGACUUUUGAAGUUUUCAGCUAUUAUUUUAUUAAAUAGGUUUCCUAUGCAGUUGCUUUUUCUAAUUUUAUGGAGUAGCUUU
rnacentral:lncRNA from 1 species